rnacentral:rRNA from 1 species
CUGCAAGUCGAACGCGAAAGUUCCCUUCGGGGAGCGAGUAGAGUGGCGCACGGGUGAGUAACACGUAGGUAAUCUACCUUUGGAUUGGGAAUAACAACCGGAAACGGUUGCUAAUACCGAAUAAUGCAGCGGCACCUAAUGGUGACAGUUGUUAAAGCGGGGGAUCGCAAGACCUCGCGUCUAAAGAGGAGCCUGCGGCGGAUUAGCUAGUUGGUAAGGUAACGGCUUACCAAGGCGAUGAUCCGUAGCCGGCCUGAGAGGGCGGUCGGCCACACUGACACUGACAUACGGGUCAGACUCCUACGGGAGGCAGCAGUCGGGAAUUUUGGGCAAUGGGCGAAAGCCUGACCCAGCAACGCCGCGUGAAGGAUGAAAUCCUUCGGGAUGUAAACUUCGCAAGAACAGGAAGAAUAAGUAAGAGUUAAUAUCUCUUACGAUGACGGUACUGUUUGUAAGCUCCGGCUAACUCCGUGCCAGCAGCCGCGGUAAUACGGGGGGAGCAAGCGUUGUUCGGAUUUACUGGGCGUAAAGGGCGGGUAGGCGGCCACCGCAAGUCAGUUGUGAAAUCUCCGGGCUUAACCCGGAAAGGUCAACUGAUACUGCGGGGCUAGAGUGCAGAAGGGGCAACUGGAAUUCUCGGUGUAGCGGUGAAAUGCGUAGAUAUCGAGAGGAACACCUGCGGCGAAGGCGGGUUGCUGGGCUGACACUGACGCUGAACUGCGAAAGCUAGGGGAGCGAACGGGAUUAGAUACCCCGGUAGUCCUAGCCUUAAACGAUGAAUGCUUGGUGUCU